rfam:Pelodiscus sinensis unplaced genomic scaffold scaffold285, whole genome shotgun sequence.
AUAUAUACCCAGCAGGGGAGAGAUCGUGAUUACGAAGGUUGUUUUCCCAGCGUGAGGCACAUCCAUUGCACUGUGGGUGCGCUGACCCCUGUGAUUUUCCCCAAAUACGGGAAACUCGACUGCAUGAUUUGUGGUGGUGAUUAAAAAUAAUAAUCUUUGAUCAG